AUUGUUGAUGAGAAAAGGCUCUCUGAAUUGUUGAUUUGGAAGAAAAAUGCUGAAA
rnacentral:snoRNA from 1 species